rnacentral:rRNA from 1 species
CUCUGGCGGCGUGCUUAACACAUGCAAGUCGAACGGAAAGGCCCUGCUUUUGUGGGGUGCUCGAGUGGCGAACGGGUGAGUAACACGUGAGUAACCUGCCCUUGACUUUGGGAUAACUUCAGGAAACUGGGGCUAAUACCGGAUAGGAGCUCCUGCUGCAUGGUGGGGGUUGGAAAGUUUCGGCGGUUGGGGAUGGACUCGCGGCUUAUCAGCUUGUUGGUGGGGUAGUGGCUUACCAAGGCUUUGACGGGUAGCCGGCCUGAGAGGGUGACCGGCCACAUUGGGGCUGAGAUACGGCCCAGACUCCUACGGGAGGCAGCAGUGGGGAAUAUUGCACAAUGGGCGGAAGCCUGAUGCAGCAACGCCGCGUGCGGGAUGACGGCCUUCGGGUUGUAAACCGCUUUCGCCUGUGACGAAGCGUGAGUGACGGUAAUGGGUAAAGAAGCACCGGCUAACUACGUGCCAGCAGCCGCGGUGAUACGUAGGGUGCGAGCGUUGUCCGGAUUUAUUGGGCGUAAAGGGCUCGUAGGUGGUUGAUCGCGUCGGAAGUGUAAUCUUGGGGCUUAACCCUGAGCGUGCUUUCGAUACGGGUUGACUUGAGGAAGGUAGGGGAGAAUGGAAUUCCUGGUGGAGCGGUGGAAUGCGCAGAUAUCAGGAGGAACACCAGUGGCGAAGGCGGUUCUCUGGGCCUUUCCUGACGCUGAGGAGCGAAAGCGUGGGGAGCGAACAGGCUUAGAUACCCUGGUAGUCCACGCUGUAAACGGUGGGUACUAGGUGUGGGGUCCAUUCCACGGGUUCCGUGCCGUAGCUAACGCUUUAAGUACCCCGCCUGGGGAGUACGGCCGCAAGGCUAAAACUCAAAGGAAUUGACGGGGCCCCGCACAAGCGGCGGAGCAUGCGGAUUAAUUCGAUGCAACGCGUAGAACCUUACCUGGGUUUGACAUGGAUCGGGAGUGCUCAGAGAUGGGUGUGCCUCUUUUGGGGUCGGUUCACAGGUGGUGCAUGGCUGUCGUCAGCUCGUGUCGUGAGAUGUUGGGUUAAGUCCCGCAACGAGCGCAACCCUUGUUCACUGUUGCCAGCACGUUAUGGUGGGGACUCAGUGGAGACCGCCGGGGUCAACUCGGAGGAAGGUGGGGAUGACGUCAAGUCAUCAUGCCCCUUAUGUCCAGGGCUUCACGCAUGCUACAAUGGCUGGUACAGAGAGUGGCGAGCCUGUGAGGGUGAGCGAAUCUCGGAAAGCCGGUCUCAGUUCGGAUUGGGGUCUGCAACUCGACCUCAUGAAGUCGGAGUCGCUAGUAAUCGCAGAUCAGCAACGCUGCGGUGAAUACGUUCCCGGGGCUUGUACACACCGCCCGUCAAGUCAUGAAAGUUGGUAACACCCGAAGCCGGUGGCCUAACCGUUGUGGGGGAGCCGUCGAAGGUGGGACUGGUGAUUAGG